GCAAUGAGGAAAACAGACGUUGCCUAAUUUUAUCCUUCAAGAAUAGGGAUGCGCAGAGUGGGAGAGAAUGCUAGGGUUACAGCCAAGGCAGCAAUCAGACAUUUUGAGGCCCUUUACAUAGUUCAAGGCCUGGGCCAUAGCUCCCCCCACCCCCCAAUAGUUACACUUGCAGGGUUAAGGGUAUUGUGAGUUGGCACCCAG